rnacentral:rRNA from 1 species
UACAGAGACUGCAAGCGUUAUUCGGAUUCACUGGGCGUAAAGGGUGCGCAGGCGGCCAAGUGUGUUAGGCGUGAAAGCCUGGGGCUUAACCCCAGAAUUGCACCUAAAACUACAUGGCUAGAGCAUUGGAGAGGGAAGCGGAAUUCACGGUGUAGCAGUGAAAUGCGUAGAUAUCGUGAGGAACACCAGAGGCGAAGGCGGCUUCCUGGACAAUUGCUGACGCUCAGGCACGAAAGCGUGGGGAGCAAACAGG